rnacentral:lncRNA from 1 species
GGUGCUGUGGGACCUCUGCACAAGCUGUCACAUGACCUUGGCGAAGGCGGGGCCAUGCGAAGAGGGGGUGGGGCCUGAACAAGGUUUGAGAAGCAGGUGCUGUGCCGAGAGCCCCGACUGUGGCCCUUCCGCUUUUACCAAGUACUGUGCCAACAUUAAUGCGGAUACAGCCAGCGUCACAGCAGGCGCAGGCAUAGACAGCACUGUACACCAGAGGAAAUUCUGUCGUGUUGGCAUCUCACAGACGCUACCUCGGCCCAGUGGCAUUUUAAGAAACGGCCGUGAGUAUAUGUGUGAUCUGCCCCCUGGUGGCUGGACUGCAGAGUACAUGUGGAAUGGCAGCGCAAGGCAGAGCCACACGGGUCCCAUCUGCAUACCCUUCCCUCGUCAUCCUAGAGAAGCCGGCUGCUUUCGGAACCCUGUGCCACCUGUAGGUGUCAGGGGAAACCUCACUACUGCUGCCAAGUGUCAGAGCUCCUCGGCUGGUCUGGCCGUGCGUGUGUGUGGUUCCCCGGGGCUUGAUGGACGUGUAUACACCUCUGAACUGUACCCUCCGCCGCAUCGUCUCGAUGUCGACUGCGACGUGGCCGACGCAUCCAUUUUUGACUUCUCUUCUGUAACAACCUCUAGCCCAGAUGAAACUCUGAAUCGGCUCAGGGGAGCGGAAGCACGUGAUGAUGAGGAUGAUGAUGAAGAGGACAGCGAGGUUCCAGUUCUCCUCAAACCUUCAUACACUCACAACGCUUCAGCCGUGCAGGCAGGGGGAGGAUUAUGCAUGGCGUGGCAGAUUCCCAAACGGGCUCCUAUUCCUGCUGAGGUUCGCAUUGGGGGGCAAGGAAAAACACGUGCCCCAAAACCACACAGAAUCCUCAGCAGUGCCUUCCGGCCGAUUUGGGACCAGACUUACUCACAGGUUUGA